rnacentral:rRNA from 1 species
UGUAUAAUGGGUCAGCGACUUAUAUUCUGUAGCAAGGUUAACCGAAUAGGGGAGCCGAAGGGAAACCGAGUCUUAACUGGGCGUUAAGUUGCAGGGUAUAGACCCGAAACCCGGUGAUCUAGCCAUGGGCAGGUUGAAGGUUGGGUAACACUAACUGGAGGACCGAACCGACUAAUGUUGAAAAAUUAGCGGAUGACUUGUGGCUGGGGGUGAAAGGCCAAUCAAACCGGGAGAUAGCUGGUUCUCCCCGAAAGCUAUUUAGGUAGCGCCUCGUGAAUUCAUCUCCGGGGGUAGAGCACUGUUUCGGCAAGGGGGUCAUCCCGACUUACCAACCCGAUGCAAACUGCGAAUACCGGAGAAUGUUAUCACGGGAGACACACGGCGGGUGCUAACGUCCGUCGUGAAGAGGGAAACAACCCAGACCGCCAGCUAAGGUCCCAAAGUCAUGGUUAAGUGGGAAACGAUGUGGGAAGGCCCAGACAGCCAGGAUGUUGGCUUAGAAGCAGCCAUCAUUUAAAGAAAGCGUAAUAGCUCACUGGUCGAGUCGGCCUGCGCGGAAGAUGUAACGGGGCUAAACCAUGCACCGAAGCUGCGGCAGCGACACUAUGUGUUGUUGGGUAGGGGAGCGUUCUGUAAGCCUGUGAAGGUGUACUGUGAGGUAUGCUGGAGGUAUCAGAAGUGCGAAUGCUGACAUAAGUAACGAUAAAGCGGGUGAAAAGCCCGCUCGCCGGAAGACCAAGGGUUCCUGUCCAACGUUAAUCGGGGCAGGGUGAGUCGACCCCUAAGGCGAGGCCGAAAGGCGUAGUCGAUGGGAAACAGGUUAAUAUUCCUGUACUUGGUGUUACUGCGAAGGGGGGACGGAGAAGGCUAUGUUGGCCGGGCGACGGUUGUCCCGGUUUAAGCGUGUAGGCUGAUUUUCCAGG